GUCUACAGCCAUGCUACCCUGAACAAGCCCGAUCUCGUCUGAUCCCGGAAGCUAAGCAGGGUGGGUCCUGGUUAGUACUUGGAUGGGAGGCCACCUAGGAAGACCAGGUGCUGUAGGUG
rnacentral:rRNA from 1 species